UUCCAGACUCCUACGGGAGGCAGCAGUGGGGAAUAUUGCACAAUGGGGGAAACCCUGAUGCAGCGACGCCGCGUGAGCGAUGAAGUAUUUCGGUAUGUAAAGCUCUAUCAGCAGGGAAGAAGAUGACGGUACCUGACUAAGAAGCCCCGGCUAACUACGUGCCAGCAGCCGCGGUAAUACGUAGGGGGCAAGCGUUAUCCGGAUUUACUGGGUGUAAAGGGAGCGUAGACGGCGAUGCAAGCCAGAUGUGAAAGCCCGGGGCUCAACCCCGGGACUGCAUUUGGAACUGUGUGGCUGGAGUGUCGGAGAGGCAGGCGGAAUUCCUAGUGUAGCGGUGAAAUGCGUAGAUAUUAGGAGGAACACCAGUGGCGAAGGCGGCCUGCUGGACGAUGACUGACGUUGAGGCUCGAAAGCGUGGGGAGCAAACAGGAUUAGAUACCCCUGUAC
rnacentral:rRNA from 1 species